UUAAUGGAGAGUUUGAUCCUGGCUCAGGAUGAACGCUGGCGGCGUGCCUAACACAUGCAAGUCGAACGGAAACAGAUCUAGUUUACUAGAUGCUGUCGAGUGGCGGACGGCUGAGUAACGCGUGGGAACGUGCCCCAAAGUGAGGGAUAACGCACCGAAAGGUGUGCUAAUACCGCAUAUGGUCUUCGGAUUAAAGAAUUUAUUCGCUUUGGGAGCGGCCUGCGUCGGAUUAGGUUGUUGGUGAGGUAAUGGCUCACCAAGCCGACGAUCCGUAGCUGGUCUGAGAGGAUGACCAGCCAGACUGGAACUGAGACACGGUCCAGACUCCUACGGGA
rnacentral:rRNA from 1 species